rnacentral:rRNA from 1 species
CCUACGGGAGGCAGCAGUGGGGAAUAUUGGGCAAUGGGCGCAAGCCUGACCCAGCAACGCCGCGUGAAGGAAGAAGGCUUUCGGGUUGUAAACUUCUUUUAAGAGGGAAGAGCAGAAGACGGUACCUCUUGAAUAAGCUACGGCUAACUACGUGCCAGCAGCCGGGGUAAUACGGAGGUGGCAAGCGUUGUCCGGAUUUACUGGGGGUAAAGGGCGUGUAGCCGGGCUGACAAGUCAGAUGUGAAAUUCCGGGGCUCAACCCCGGAACUGCAUUUGAAACUGUUUGUCUUGAGUAUCGGAGAGGCAGGCGGAAUUCCUAGUGUAGCAGUGAAAUGCGUAGAUAUUAGGAGGAACACCAGUGGCGAAGGCGACCUGCUGGACGACAACUGACGGUGAGGCGCGAAAGCGUGGGUAGCAAACAGGAUUAGAUACCCCGGUAGUC